rnacentral:ribozyme from 14 species
CAUUUUUUCUUUGCUUUUAUUUCAAUUUUUUUCCUUUUUCUCUCUCCUAUUUUUAUUGGUAACUUUUCAA